AUGGAAUCAGGUGAAAACAACAUGGGCUCGAAUGAUGGACCAAACAGCAAAGCUAACUUGGCUGCGAGGCAACGCUUACGGUGGACAGAUGAGUUGCAUGAACAAUUUGUGGAGGCUGUUACUCAACUUGGCGGUCCUGAUAGAGCAACUCCUAAAGGAGUUUUGAGAAUUAUGGGUACACCAGGAUUAACAAUAUACCAUGUGAAAAGUCACCUACAGAAAUACAGGCUAGCAAAGUACAUUCCCGACUCUUCAGCUGAUGGUAACAAGGCUGAUAACAAAGAUCCAGGGGAUUCACUAGCAGGACUUGAUGGAUCCUCUGGAAUGCAGAUAUCUGAAGCCCUGAAGCUGCAGAUGGAGGUCCAAAAGCGGUUGCAUGAACAGCUCGAAGUACAAAGGCAGCUGCAGCUGCGAAUCGAGGCACAGGGAAAGUACCUUAAGAAAAUCAUAGAAGAGCAGCAGCGUUUCGGUGGCGGUGGUAUAAAGUCUGAAACACCUGGUGCAGGAGCUACUGUCACAGUGUCGAGCGAUCAGUUCCCCGAUUCUGAGAGGACAGACCCCUCGACUCCUGCACCGACAUCUGAAUCUGCAUCUCAAGGUGGGGCUUUCAAAAGAGACAGUGGAAGCCAGACUGAAGCAAUCAAGAGCCCAUGUCACGAUGAACCGCUGCUAACUGCAGAUUCCAACUGUCAUCCCGGUUCUCCUACUCUCAGUCCGAAGCAUGAGAGGGCAGCAAAGAGACAGCGAGGUAGCGACGCUGAAUUCCCGGAGGCCGAGUUAUCCCUUCCGCAGCAUAUCUUCGAGUCGAGCUCAGGGCCAGAGUUCCAGCAAUGUUCGGUGCCCUACUACUCGGGUCAUUAG
rnacentral:rRNA from 1 species